AUUGAACGCUGGCGGCAGGCUUAACACAUGCAAGUCGAGCGGAGAUGAGGUGCUUGCACCUUAUCUUAGCGGCGGACGGGUGAGUAAUGCUUAGGAAUCUGCCUAUUAGUGGGGGACAACAUUCCGAAAGGAAUGCUAAUACCGCAUACGCCCUACGGGGGAAAGCAGGGGAUCUUCGGACCUUGCGCUAAUAGAUGAGCCUAAGUCGGAUUAGCUAGUUGGUGGGGUAAAGGCCUACCAAGGCGACGAUCUGUAGCGGGUCUGAGAGGAUGAUCCGCAACACUGGGACUGAGACCCGGCCCAGACUCCUACGGGAGGCAGCAGUGGGGAAUAUUGGACAAUGGGCGGAAGCCUGAUCCAGCCAUGCCGCGUGUGUGAAGAAGGCCUUUUGGUUGUAAAGCACUUUAAGCGAGGAGGAGGCUACCUGGAUUAAUACUCUAGGAUAGUGGACGUUACUCGCAGAAUAAGCACCGGCUAACUCUGUGCCAGCCGCCGCCGUAAAAC
rnacentral:rRNA from 1 species